rnacentral:rRNA from 1 species
GACGAACGCUGGCGGCGUGCUUAACACAUGCAAGUCGAACGGAAAGGCCCUGCUUUUGUGGGGUGCUCGAGUGGCGAACGGGUGAGUAACACGUGAGUAACCUGCCCUUGACUUUGGGAUAACUUCAGGAAACUGGGGCUAAUACCGGAUAGGAGCUCCUGCUGCAUGGUGGGGGUUGGAAAGUUUCGGCGGUUGGGGAUGGACUCGCGGCUUAUCAGCUUGUUGGUGGGGUAGUGGCUUACCAAGGCUUUGACGGGUCGCCGGCCUGAGAGGGUGACCGGCCACAUUGGGACUGAGAUACGGCCCAGACUCCUACGGGAGGCAGCAGUGGGGAAUAUUGCACAAUGGGCGGAAGCCUGAUGCAGCAACGCCGCGUGCGGGAUGACGGCCUUCGGGUUGUAAACCACUUUCGCCUGUGACGAAGCGUGAGUGACGGUAAUGGGUAAAGAAGCACCGGCUAACUACGUG